AUUGAACGCUGGCGGCAGGCCUUACACAUGCAAGUCGAGCGGCAGCAGGGAGGUUGCCCCUGGGUUGAGAGGCGGAAAGGGGUGUAAAGUCUAGCAAUACGUCUGGUGGUGGGGGAUAUAGUCCGGCAAAGGGCGCUAUUAUAGCGCACGCCAUCUGCGAGAAAGAGGGGGAUCUUCGCACCUCUCGCUAUCUGAGGAUCCGAUGUCGGAUUAGCUAGUUGGUGGGGUAAAGGCCUACCAAGGCGACGAUCCGUAUCUGGUCUGAGAGGAUGAUCAGCCACACUGGGACUGAGACACGGUCCAGACUCCUACGGGAGGCAGCAGUGGGGAAUUUUGGACAAUGGGCGAAAGCCUGAUCCAGCAAUGCCGCGUGUGUGAAGAAGGUCUUCGGGUUGUAAAGCACUUUAGUUUGGAAAGAAAGGCAUGAAGUUAAUACCGUGGGGUGAUGACGGUACCGGCAGAAUAAGCACCGGCUAACUACGUG
rnacentral:rRNA from 1 species